rnacentral:rRNA from 1 species
CUUGGUAACCAUAGCCGGGGUGGUACACCUCUUCCCAUUCCGAACAGAGAAGUUAAGCCCCCGAACGCCGAUGGUACUACGUGGGCGACCGCGUGGGAGAGUAGGUAGUUGCCAAGA